GAAUUGGUGGUGUAAUGGUUAGCAUUGCUGCCUUCCAAGCAGCAGUUCCGGGGUGAGCAUCAAAUCUCUCCCCAAUUCG